CUUUCACCAAAAACAAGAAAAGCUUUAUCUUCUAUUCAUAAUGGCUAAGAAGAUUUGAUCUUGGUUUUGGUCUAGGGUUAUCUCUCUCUCUCUUCUGGGGGGUGAGAGAGGGAAACAAAAACAAACAAACAAACUCUAACAGACCAUCAAAGCAAAAGCAUUUACUGUGAGGAUAACAAUGAGAUCAUUUUUUUUUUUUUUCUGAAAAGAAUGUGUUGGAAGUUCAAAAUCUUAAUCAAUAACUGACUUUGACUGUAGCUCUAUAUAGCAACUAGGCAUCUGUGUGUGUGCCUCAUGACUCAUUUGACCACACGCUUGACCAGGAGCGUGUACCACACAGCAGCAGCAUCAUGUCAGUGACCUUUCUUCACAACACAAAAUCUACAAGACUCUUCACUGUUCAAGCAGAAAAUACUAGUCUCUAGUCUACUGUUCCUAAGGAUUGGUUAAGAGAGUGGAGUACACACGUGGGAGGAUGGAGAGUGAGAAAGGAUUGGCCUUUGAGGUCAGAGAGGUACCCACUUUGAGCGCCAUUUUGAUAAGAGGCUGAGAAGGAAGACAUAUCUCAAAAUAUCUCUCAUAAGGACCCCAUUGAUGUGAGAAAGAGAUGAUAUCAUAACCCCUUUGAGAUUUUUUUCCUGUUAGAAUCUAACUUUGUACCAAGUAAUAUGGGAGACUGUUCAUAUUAGACUUUGAUUAUGACAAUAUGUUUUAGUGUCCAUGUUCAGUGGAAAUGUAAUAAUGCAGAAAAGAUAUUGGGUAUGACUCUAUACUAUGAAUGGAAAGUCUUAUACCUAACAUUAGUCCACCUAGCAAACAAAACAGAUUAAUCAUAUUUGAUUUCAUGAUGAUCCAGAUUAAUACUGAAAGCAAAAUCUUGAUAUAAAAUCAGAGGAUAGCUUCAAACUGAUUACUUCAAAGUGUGUGUGCCAAAGAUCAUUACAAGUGAAUA